GGUGAGUAACACGUGGGUAACCUACCUGUGAGACUGGGAUAACUCCGGGAAACCGGGGCUAAUACCGGAUGGUUGUUUGAACCGCAUGGUUCAAACAUAANAGGUGGCUUCGGCUACCACUUACAGAUGGACCCGCGGCGCAUUAGCUAGUUGGUGAGGUAACGGCUCACCAAGGCGACGAUGCGUAGCCGACCUGAGAGGGUGAUCGGCCACACUGGGACUGAGACACGGCCCAGACUCCUACGGGAGGCAGCAGUAGGGAAUCUUCCGCAAUGGACGAAAGUCUGACGGAGCAACGCCGCGUGAGUGAUGAAGGUUUUCGGAUCGUAAAGCUCUGUUGUUAGGGAAGAACAAGUACCGUUCGAAUAGGGCGGUACCUUGACGGUACCUAACCAGAAAGCCACGGCUAACUACGUGCCAGCAGCCGCGGUAAUACGUAGGUGGCAAGCGUUGUCCGGAAUUAUUGGGCGUAAAGGGCUCGCAGGCGGUUUCUUAAGUCUGAUGUGAAAGCCCCCGGCUCAACCGGGGAGGGUCAUUGGAAACUGGGGAACUUGAGUGUANAAGAGGAGAGUGGAAUUCCACGUGUAGCGGUGAAAUGCGUANNGAUGUGGAGGAACACCAGUGGCGAANGCGACUCUCUGGUCUGUAACUGACGCUGAGGAGCGAAAGCGUGGGGAGCGAACAGGAUUANAUACCCUGGUAGUCCACGCC
rnacentral:rRNA from 1 species